CUAGGUUCUUGAUUUGGGUUUCCCGGGAGUGGAUGAUACUGAGGUGGGUCCCCAAGGAGGAGUAAAGAAGAAAGGAAAAGAAGAAGGAGAAGGGAGAAGAAGGAGAAGAAGGAGAAGGAGGAGAAGGAGAAGGAGAAGGAGAAGAAGAACGGAGUUGGUAUUAUGUGUGCUACGAACUGAUGCGACCCUUACACACGUGUUCUGAUCUGUCAUGAGAAGACUGCUUUUGUUAACUUAAGCUCCUAUCAAGGGCGACUCUAAAAGGAUCAGCCCCCCAAAACCUCCACGAUCGGAAAGCUGAGCUCCUUCUGAGACAGUUUGCAGGCUCUCCCUUCCCAAAUGCCAUUCAAAUGGCCCCAGUCCUGGCCAUUGCUUUCCAGUCCCCCUGGAGCGGCCGACUCCCGUCCGCACUUCUGAAAUUAGAGCUGGAGGAAACGGAUUCCUUACCAGCAGCCCCGAAGAUGAGGAAUUUCCCCAAAGCUGGCUCGUACCUUCCACCAGGAGAGUUGCCGUAAAAAUAGAUGAAAGCUAAGAGGAUCUUGCUCCUAAAACAACACCAUGGAGUGGUGAUGGGAAACUGUGAGGCUGCAAGAGUCACAGAACAGAGCUUCUCCAGAUCUUUCCCUCCUGCAGAGGCCAGACCUGCAUUUUUGCCUUCAUUCAACAGAGAUGUGCUGAGUUACUACUACACCCCCCUCACCCCCCUCACCCCCCACCCCCCGGUGCCAUGGCACAGUGCAGGGCUGAGGGCUCAGGCUCUCAGAAUGCUUGAUUUGAAUCCUUGCUCUGCUGGCCACCCCGGGGAAGUGACCUGACUCUCUGGGCCUCAGCCUCCUGGUCUGGAAGGCAGGAUCACGAUAGCACCAUUCCUUUAGGGUGAAGUAAGGAUUAACUGAAGUCAUUCCUAAGGAGGUCUUAGAACAACCACAGGCACAUAGUAAGUAUUCAGUAUGCAUUGGUUGUUGCUAGUAUUAUUCCUGUGCUAGGCACAUGUGGGUCUCUGGUCCUGAAGGUGGUCACGAGCUGGUUGAGAUGGAUGUUCCCACGUAAGCACAAAAGGUAUGACAAGGAGUAUGGUUGAUGAGGUACCAAGUGAAUGGAAAAGAAUUCAGUUCUAAGGAACAGGCAGAGGGCGAGAUUGCUGUGUCAGGAGAAGGCUUCACAGAGGAAGGAAGGCUUAAGCUGGGCUUGAAAGAUGUGCAAGAUUUGGCUGGACCACAAAAAGGCAUGACAGAUGGGGGGAGAGCUCCAGGCAAGGGGCUAGAGCCCCAAGAAUCCACAAGAAUUAAGCUAGAAGUCAAAGCAUUAUGCAACUCUGAUGCUUUCAAGACUGCAAGCCAAACCUCUUCAAUUAAGAUUUCCAAAUCAAAAUGUUGGCCUUUCUUAUAGAGAAAGAAAUAUUGAUUUGUGUUAACUUCAUCUGGCAAAACAAUGUUACAAAGCAAGGGCAACAGAGCUUAUUGUGAAGAGAACCAGAAGAGGCAUGGAUCUAUUAUAAAUAGAGCUUUGAUUUAUAAAAAGGGAGGAUGGAUAUAUUUGAUAGAGAUGUUACUGAAAUAAAAUCAUAUUGGUUGGUGAGGUAAAAAGUGUUCUGCCCAAAAAGUGUUCUAUUCGUUCAAUCAUUCUUUGAAUAUGUAUUAUUUACUGUGUCCCAGGCAUUCAGGGGAGACACUGGUAGUGACAAUAAACAUGGAUUCUGCUAUAAA